GUGUGUGUCUGUAUGUGUGUGCAUUGAGUGUAAGAGAUGUAUUGUGUUUCUGUGUGUAUGUAAGAAAAGAAGUGUGUGUGUUUGCAUGUGUGUGUACGGGUUUGCAUUGUCUGUUUCUGUGUAUGUGUGCAAAGGAUGCAUUGUCUUUGUGUGUAAGGGUUGCAUUGUGUGUGUGUGUAAUGGAUGCAUUGUGUGUUUCUGUGUGUAAGGGAAGCAUGUUGUGUUUCUGUGUAUGUAUAGGGAUGCAUUGUGUGUGUGUGCACGCGCGUAGUGUGAAAGAGCUCCCUGUCUUGGCCCCUGUCCUAUAGAGCUGCCCCUUCUGUCCCGUAGAGCUCUCCCCUGC